rnacentral:antisense_RNA from 1 species
CACUGCGGCGCCCCGGCCCGGCAGUGCCAGCAGCAGGUCGGCACCGCCAGCGCCACGCUUCUCGGGGGCCCUGGUGUUCCAUGGGGUACCAAUCCAAAGGGUUCGGCUCAACUGGGUACGCGACGGCCUCUCGGGCUCCUCCUGCAAGCAGGGACUCGCCUGGCGCGCCCCACGCCUCCUGGACGCCGGCGCCUGCACGUUUCGGCGCUUCUGCAGGCCCAGGAAGCCAGAGGGGUCACCUGGAGGCCCGGCCCCGCCUCUCCUGCACCCCUCCGUUUGACAACAUAUCCACCGCCGUUUUUCCUUUCAAAAUACCCGGACCAAUCGAUUAGCCCUCGCCGGACUUGGACUGCAGGAAGUGAUUGAUCGGCUGAUUGGUUUAUUGAUUCAUUAACUACGGUGCCUCCCUGACCUUCUGCUCCUCGGACAGAGGACAAGCUCACAAUCCACACCCUCCUGAGAGAACCUGCUCUCGCCAUCCGCAGGUCUCCCUGGCCCAAUAGUGGGGACAUACCUGAGUUGAGCUAGAGGAUUUUAUCCCUGUUGGGAUGGGGGACGUCUCGGGAAGUGUGGUUUCUAAACUAAAAGACUGCAGGAAGUGUCAACUUUAGUGAUUGUCAU